rnacentral:rRNA from 1 species
UACGGGGGGUGCAAGCGUUAUCCGGAUUCACUGGGUUUAAAGGGUGCGUAGGCGGAACAGAAGGUCCGUUGUGAAAUCUCCGAGCUUAACUCGGAAAUUGCGGUGGAUACUAUUGUUCUUGAAUACUGUUGAGGUUAGCGGAAUAUGUCAUGUAGCGGUGAAAUGCAUAGAUAUGACAUAGAACACCAAUUGCGAAGGCAGCUGGCUAAACAGAUAUUGACGCUGAGGCACGAAAGCGUGGGGAUCAAACAGG